AAAAUGGUUUUUAAUGUUGCUACACUAGUCUUAGGGUCUGAAUGAUGAUUGUCGUUUUGCGGUGCGGGAGAAGUGCAGUGCAGUUCAAAUAGUAACGAAAAUACAUAGAUACAUAUGUAUAUGUAGAGAUCUUGAUACUGUUACAGCACUGUUGCGGUGCGGUUUUGGGUGCGGUCUAUGUCACCAUUCAUAGCCUUCUUCAUUUUGUUAUGUACAAUUAACGCCAAUUUACCUGUAAUUAAACCACUCAUUGGCUAAAAAACUAUAUAUAUAUAUAACUUGGUUGACAAGAGAAAU
rnacentral:sRNA from 1 species